GAUGAACGCUGGCGGCGUGCCUAACACAUGCAAGUCGAACGGAGCUGCUUUGAUGAAGUUUUCGGAUGGAUUUAAAGCAGCUUAGUGGCGGACGGGUGAGUAACGCGUGGGUAACCUGCCUCACACUGGGGGAUAACAGUUAGAAAUAGCUGCUAAUACCGCAUAAGCGCACGGUUCCGCAUGGAACAGUGUGAAAAACUCCGGUGGUGUGAGAUGGACCCGCGUCUGAUUAGCCAGUUGGCGGGGUAACGGCCCACCAAAGCGACGAUCAGUAGCCGGCCUGAGAGGGUGAACGGCCACAUUGGGACUGAGACACGGCCCAAACUCCUACGGGAGGCAGCAGUGGGGAAUAUUGCACAAUGGGGGAAACCCUGAUGCAGCGACGCCGCGUGAGUGAAGAAGUAUUUCGGUAUGUAAAGCUCUAUCAGCAGGGAAGAAAGUGACGGU
rnacentral:rRNA from 1 species